rnacentral:piRNA from 1 species
UUAAAUUUUAGCAAAACUCUGUUUAGGAUU